rnacentral:rRNA from 1 species
AUGCCUCGUCCCCACGAGGCCACAACACCAAAGACGCUACCCAGCAAGCAAAGGUUGAAGAUUGUCCGAGAGUUGAUCUACAAGAGAGGUUAUGGAAAGCUAAACAAGCAAACGAUUCCUCUGGCCAACAACAAAGUCAUCGAGCAGGGCCUGGGUGCGGGCGAAGAUGACAUUGCGAUUCUCGCCUGCCUGCUUCUUCUCGGUGACAACCUUCUCCUUCUUCUCGAAGUCAAUAGCCGCAGGCUUCUUGAAGUAGGUUAUUCUGGGUUGAGAAUGCGGGCAGAGAGGUUAUGGAAAGCUAAAAAAGCAAAGGAUUCCUCUGGCUCGGUGCUAGCAGGCGCGUGUGGUCAAGGCCGCAUUGGAGAUAACAUGCACACAGGGGCCGAUGCCUCGUCCCCACGAGGCCACAACACCGAAGACGCUACCCAGCGAUGGGUUCAUGAAGACGUGCGCCUGCCAGCACCUAGCGAUUGA